UACGUAGGGUCCGAGCGUUGUCCGGAAUUACUGGGCGUAAAGAGCUCGUAGGUGGUUUGUCGCGUUGUUCGUGAAAACUCACAGCUCAACUGUGGGCGUGCGGGCGAUACGGGCAGACUGGAGUACUGCAGGGGAGACUGGAAUUCUUGGUGUAGCGGUGAAAUGCGUAGAUAUCAAGAGGAACACCUGAGGUGAAGACGGGUUGCUGGGCCAACACUGACGCUGAGGCGCGAAAGCCAGGGGAGCAAACGGG
rnacentral:rRNA from 1 species